rnacentral:RNase_P_RNA from 1 species
CGAGUGGUUCGGGCAAUCGCCGGCCGGAUCAGCGGCGGGAGGAAAGUCCGGGCUCCACAGGGCAGGAGGGUUGCUAACGGCAACCGGGCGCGAGCCCAGGGACAGUGGCACAGAAAACAUACCGCCCCGGUGCAUCGGGGUAAGGGUGAAAAGGUGCGGUAAGAGCGCACCGCGAGCCCUGGCGACAGGGCCGGCAGGCAAAACCCCCUCCGGAGCAAGGCCAAAUAGGGGUCGAGCGCGGCAUAUGGCGCGCGGCGCGGCUCGCGCCGUUUGAAGACCCGGGUAGGCUGCUGGAGCCUGCGGGCAACCGCAGGCCUAGACGAAUGAUUGCCGCGCCGGGAUUUACCGCCCGGCGCACAAAACCCGGCUUACAGAGCCACUCUUGAA